ensembl:lncRNA
CAGCACAGCAUUAUGCAGAGUACAGUAUCUUUAUUUCAAGCCCUGAAUGUCCUGAAGCAAGCGUAAAAGCAAUGGUAUAUAGCCAUUGUGUUAGCUGGGUACCUAGGCUAACUUUGUUGGACUUAGAAACAAACUCUCAGAAUGGAACUCAGUCAUAUAUAGAGGACUUACUGUACUGACAUGAAGACAAUCACUGCUCUGCUUCUGUCUUCCAGGGGGCUUUCUGAAUCACAUUAUCUCUCUUUGUAGUCAAUUGGAACUCGCUGAAAUCUAUGCAGAAAGUAGAAUAUGUGGAAAGAACCAAACCAUCAAAUCAGGACAAAUGCUUUAGCUGUUUGGAAAUAAGUACCACAAGCCCAAGUUUUAUCUGUGAAAAAUAAAAAAAAUUAGAAAAAUGCUCAU